UCACAGGGGUGAGGAAUUGGAGGAGGAAUUGGGAGGGGUCGGCGCAUACAGAACAGGAACUCAGCGAGGUUAGAAGGGCAACAAAAUGAAGUCAAUUUGUCAGGGUAUAACACCCUUGAAUUUUAUGGAGGUAAAUCAAAUCA